rnacentral:rRNA from 1 species
AGAGCGAACGCUGGCGGCAUGCUUAACACAUGCAAGUCGCACGGGCAGGGGAAACCCUGUCAGUGGCGGACGGGUGAGUAACGCGUAGGUAUCUAUCCUUGGGUGGGGGAUAACGGUUGGAAACGACUGCUAAUACCGCAUGAUAACUGAGGUUUAAAGGCGCAAGUCGCCUGGGGAGGAGCCUGCGUACGAUUAGCUUGUUGGUGGGGUAAAGGCCUACCAAGGCGACGAUCGUUAGCUGGUCUGAGAGGAUGAUCAGCCACAUUGGGACUGAGACACGGCCCAAACUCCUACGGGAGGCAGCAGUGGGGAAUAUUGGACAAUGGGCGAAAGCCUGAUCCAGCAAUGCCGCGUGUGUGAAGAAGGUCUUCGGAUUGUAAAGUCCUUUCGGCGGGGACGAUGAUGACGGUACCCGCGAGAAGAACGCCCCGGCUAACUCGCGCCAGCACGCCGC